AGAUCUAGCAACAAAUUGUACAUUUGCUGCAUCUCCAUGUCGGUGUGGUUCAUUCUCUGGACCAUGUUUUGAAGCUCCACGACAUCCCCAUACGUUUUUGCCUAACGUGAACACCGCAUACAUGUUUCCUGUGGCAAGAGUCUGCUGCAUGCCUAAGGCCGCCCUCUGAGAAAAACACAGUCACAAGCUAACCAUUGCUUACGUCCUCGGUAAAACAAACCCCAGCAAAUAAGUGCCAACUGUUUCAUAGAAGAGGUUAAAAUGAAUACAGUGCUUUAGGAUCAUAAUUUGCGGCAUACUAAAUUCCUUGCAAGAAAAGUGACUGCACUUUCAAAGCAAAAAAUAUUUUGAUCAAUAUCACGUACAAACUUUGCUUCCUUUGCUGACAUCACAUCAAUUCUCUGCUUUCUGAAUUGAAGAAAGUUCAUGAUGGCACUCAAAAUAGAAAGGGUUCGCUGUUUCUCUGAAAAAGAUAUUAUCUGGUUACAUUUCAUAAAUGCAUUGAAUAGAAA